CCGGUUGCAGCUUGCUGCAAGAAUAGGGAAUGCGGUGCAAAGCCGCAGCAGCCCCCGCUACUGUAAGAAGGGACGAAGCGCUUUUUCAAAUGCCACUGGGAAACUGGGAAGGCAAAGGCGCAGAAGGACGAUCUUCGAGCCAGGAGACCUGCCGCAGAC
rnacentral:ncRNA from 1 species